rnacentral:rRNA from 1 species
CCUACGGGUGGCAGCAGUGGGGAAUAUUGGGCAAUGGGCGCAAGCCUGACCCAGCAACGCCGCGUGAAGGAAGAAGGCUCUCGGGUUGUAAACCUCUUUUCUCAGGGACGAAGCAAGUGACGGUACCUGAGGAAUAAGCCACGGCUAACUACGUGCCAGCAGCCGCGGUAAUACGUAGGUGGCAAGCGUUAUUCGGAUUUACUGGGUGUAAAGGGCGUGUAGGCGGGGAGGCAAGUCAGAUGGGAAAACCACGGGCUCAACCCGUGGCCUGCAUUUGAAACUGUGUUUCUUGAGUACUGGAGAGGCAGACGGAAUUCCGAGUGUAGCGGUGAAAUGCGUAGAUAUUAGGAGGAACACCAGUGGCGAAGGCGGUCUGCUGGACAGCAACUGACGCUGAGGCGCGAAAGCGUGGGUAGCAAACAGGAUUAGAUACCCUGGUAGUC